GACGAACGCUGGCGGCGUGCUUAACACAUGCAAGUCGAACGGAAAGGCCCUGCUUUUGUGGGGUGCUCGAGUGGCGAACGGGUGAGUAACACGUGAGUAACCUGCCCUUGACUUUGGGAUAACUUCAGGAAACUGGGGCUAAUACCGGAUAGGAGCUCCUGCUGCAUGGUGGGGGUUGGAAAGUUUCGGCGGUUGGGGAUGGACUCGCGGCUUAUCAGCUUGUUGGUGGGGUAGUGGCUUACCAAGGCUUUGACGGGUAGCCCGCCUGAGAGGGUGACCGGCAAAUUUGAAACAGAAAAACGGCCCGGGACCCUAGGGGGGGAAGAAGGGGGAAAUAUGCAAAAAGGGGGGGAAGCCAAAUGAGGCAAGGCCGCGGGGGGGAUGGCGGCCUUCGGGUUGAAAACCUCUUUCGCCGGGGAGGAAGGGGGAGUGACGGUAAUGGGAAAAAGAGCACCGGCAAAACACGU
rnacentral:rRNA from 1 species